CGACUGUAUUUCCUCCCAGCCUCUCAUAUAACCCCAAAUUCCUCGUCAGUAGGACACUAUGAAAAGCCUGUGUAAGGCCUCUAAGUAGAAAAGUUUCUGUGUCCGAGCAGCUGACACUCUUAGCCAUCUAAUUCCAUGAACAGAAGGAAUGCAAUCAGAAUGCAAACUGCCUGAAAUAAUGACAUCUACAAUGAAAGACAUCUUUUUAAUUCAUGUCAUUGUUAUCAAAAACAUUCCAAACUAAGAGGCCGAGGUCUACCUGCAAAAUAGAGAUUUUGUUCCAAAGAAAACCAGCACUCCUCACAAAAGAAAGAAUGUGCC